UUUUUCCCAUUACAAAACGCUCCGUUCUUUGCUGUGAGAGACAGAGUAUCUCCUCCAUCUGUGUUUAGAGUUUCCUGUGAUGUGAAGGCUUACGAGGUGUGAAACUAUGAGGAAACUGAACCCUCUUCUGUGGCAGUCUGCUGUGAUGUUUGGCUGCACACACUAAACUGAACUGAAAGAGAGUGUGUGUUUUAGUAUGCAAUAAUAAGUGAAAGACACACACGUCCACACCAGCUGCUUUCAGCACGCACACUCACUUUGUUCACAUGAGGACAAAAAAACUUUAUUUAACUCAGCUUGUGUGACAAGAAGACAUGAGAGUGUGAGUUUAAAGAUCUGCACAGAUAAAUCACACAAGCUUGGCAGGUAUGGCAGGAAACAGUCACACAGCGCUCGUCUCACCGCUGCACACACGGCUCCGUCUAACUCUUCUUCUUUAUUUCUCCCCCAUCUGCUCUGGAGCAGGUUGAGGUCCAGAUUAGAGCUCAACAAGCAUGAAGUCAUCACUUGUGCAUUUCCCCUCUUUGAUUUAUGGACAUUAUUUUCUUAUUUAAUAAUGUUUGUAUGGAAAAGUUCAAACUUCUUAGAGUUUUGACACAAAAUUACCAUCAGAUUUAUUGAACGUGCCUAUUUUGUUCUCACCACUCUGUGUAUGUUGGAACAAACGUAUGCGUAUGUUUGUAUCUUGAAACACUGGGGCCCAAGCCCAGCCCUGAGGCUCUGGAGUUUCACUGGAUAACAGCACCUCUUAAAACUUAUUUAUUGUAUUUCACAGUAAAAGUAAUAUAAAUAUAAAUCAUUAAACCAAAAGCUGAACAGAACCAUCAGAACCACCUGAGGUCCUUUUUUUUUUUAGUAUUUGUAUUAUUUUGAUAAGCUCUUAUUGAGCCAUGAUGGUGCAUUUGAAACUCUGUGUCUGCUCUGCUCCAUCUACUCCAUCCAGAUCUUUGCUUCACCUUAUUUUACACACUGACUCCAUCAGGUUACAGAGAGCUAAAUGAUGAAUGCACCGUUUCAUGCCAUCAGGCUGCAGAUCAGUCGGCGUUCUGAUGGCGCUGAUCUUUCCACCCAAUGACAUCUGUCGUCACAGUCACAUGACUUCUGCUUGUGUGAAUUAAUGUUUUCUAUUUUGUUCUGCAGUAUUUUAUUUUUACAGUAUUUUAUUCAUUUCACACAAACUAUUGAUGUAAUGUCAUCAAAUGUCCACUAGUUGUCACUAGUCAUCAGUGGACAGAGUACAUCAACAUUCAUGGCUCUGAAUACACAAAUGUGCGCUUAAAUGAGCUCACAUUAUUCAUCUGGACUGAUGGAUCGCCUUUGUUUUUAUAAGUCAGUGUUACCAUGGAAAUGACAGUAAAACACUAUGUAAACAGACAGUGGAUUUAUUUGACUUCAGUCUUGAUUCUGCAUGGAAACAAUAGCCUGACAUCUUUGACUGGAAUCAUCAGUUUCAGAGCGUCGCCUGAAACCAUGGUUACUGACCUGCAGCCUGACAUCACUCUGAGCAGCUGCAUGUAUGAGUGUAGACACAUGCAUGCAGCUGCUCAGCUGGGUGGAUGUGCUGGUGGAAACAGUGAGUGUGGCAGUGAGGGCCAGACGCAACAUGAGCACAUGACUGCUGUCAGCACACUCAAGUGUAUAAAGGUCUGUACCCUUGUAGUCCUCUUGCUAUGAGCGCUCACAUCCCCCAAACCCAAGAGGACGAAGGAGCUCUGAGCAUUGCACCUCCACUGCUGAGAAUACAAGCAUGUCCAGGAAAGCUGUGCUGGCUUUGAUUCUUCUCUGCCUGUUUACAACAUCUGUAGACCUGACAAUCAUCAGAGCUGGGUGUGGACAGGAUGUCGUUCUGCCGUGUCAAGUUCAUAAAGAUUAUCCCACUGCGGCUGUAUUGUGGAGGAGAACUGACCUAAAGCCAGAAAAAGUACUUUUGUACCAGAGCAAGACGUCUCAUCAAGCCAACAAGUAUCCAUCUUCAAGUAGCCGCUUGCAUCUGAUGGAUGGAUGGAUGGACAGUGGAAAUUUGUCCUUGGCUCUGCAGGAUGUGACGCAGGCUGAGAGUGGAACAUAUGAGUGUCUGGCCAUCGACAAAGAAAGACACCAAUGGAAGACUCACAUUGAGAACACUGAUACCAUCAACACCAUCCAGCUGAUAAUUGUUUCAGUGGCUCCACCACUGAAUGCUGGCAAAAGGCAGUUUGCUCCACCUACAUGUGAUCUGCUUUUGACUUUGGGUCUUCUCUCAUAUUUCUGUUUCUCUGUUUAAUCUUGAUGAUGCUGUUCACACAAACCUCUGACCUAAAAGUCCUGCCUCUGAGUUUAAACAGAAAACUUUUUUUUCAUUUCUUUGGGUUUUUUUUUUUUUUUUUGCUUUGGUUUUUUUCAUAUAACAGCUGUUACAUGAUAAUGCUGAGAUUACAUGUAAAGGGUGGAAACUCAUAUGUAUGUAUUCUUUUUGUGGUUUGUUUUUAAAGAUAAUCACAGGUUUUGAUUUCACCGCAGUUUUCCUCUUAUAAUCUACAGUUUUCAUGGGUAUUGCUUUAAGGAAGAUACUUGUUUAGCAUGUUUGUACUCACAGGCAGGAGUCACAUUAGUUUCACUGACUUUUAUGAUGAAAACAAGACAAUAACUAAACACCUCUGUCAGUGAACAAGAUCCAAUCAGAAGUGCAGUAGGUUCAAAGCACACGUUUGAUCUGCUCCCACCAAACGGUCCACCUCUUUUAGCAAACAGUGAAACUGAUUCUCAUCGACUAUGACCAAAACUAAAAGAUGCUGUUGUCAAAAGACUCUCCACACGUUGACGAACAGACUGAAUUUACUCCACUAACAGUACAAAUCAACGUUAGCCAAUCAAAUCACUGUUUGUGGAGCAUCAAAUAUCACUGCAGCGACAAUCAGCGUGUUACACAUGAACACUGUCAGUAACAGGCAGGUAGCAUGGCUAACGUUAGCUGCUAAAGAAGGCACUGCUUGUGCGUGUCACCAUUGACUGGACAUGCUUGCUAUAUACUGAUGCUAUGCUAGAGCGUUAACAGUUCCUGUAGUUCAUCAUGUAGAGCAGGGGUGGCACACUGACUUUAGAUGUUGAACCACAAUUAUAACUAUAAAUGGUACCAUUACACUUACUGUUAUUCUUUGACACAAUGGUAUGACCCAGUCUGUCUUUGCAUGUGAUUGGCUGUAUUGUCCCACCCCUGUUUGCAUGGAGAUCAACAGGACUGAAGAUUCAGCUCCCACAUACAUUCGGGCCAUUAAUAACUGACAUAUGAAAGUGUAUUAAGGGCCUGAUGUGGCCCGCUGGCUGUAUGUUGGACACUCCUGUAUUAUACGCUAAGUCAUGGCUGAACAGGCACAAACAGCGUCAUGCAUGCCCAGACUUGUUUCUCACUACUUUUUUUUGGAAAAAGAAAACAAACAAACAAAGCCACCCAUGAGCUUCAGAUUGUACAUCUGUGUCACAGUGUUACUGUGGGGAUGAAGGAGCUGCUCCGUGGCUGUAACAGUCACUGCUAAAGGAGCUCUCAGCGCCUCCACAGCCUCCUGUAGGGGGUGGAGGUGCUGUCCAUCAUGGGGGACAAAUAAAGCUUUAGAAUUGAACACCUCACUUGCUAUACACACAAUAUCUGUGAAAGUCGUAUCAUAUGCACUUUACAAUCACAGCGACACAGAAUGUAGAAUAUGAGCCAACAGGCCACGUGCUGACUGUGCUCUAAAACAAAGUGCCAUUAGAGCUGAUCCAGAGCCAGAGCAGGCAGCUUUAACACUGACUCAGCAGCAGCGUGCCUGAUAUUUCUUUGUGACAUAGCUCGAAAGCUGCUUCAUGUUUCCUUUGCUUUGUGUCUCUAUUUGUAGCGUCGUGACUGUACGAUAACUAUCCUGUGAUGAACCAUGAAACAGCAAGCGCCGUACGAAACACUCAAACACUUAGCCGUCCCUGUGUUUAACUUUACAACUCCUUUUUUGCUGAGCAGCUUCGCCAAGAAACACUGUUUGUUCUCAGUAAGUCAUUUAAACAGUACUCUCUACAACCAACACACACGCACACAUACACAAAAAAACAAACCAAAGAAUGUAUUUUCAAACUCAAGUGUUUAUACUUUCUGUCUGUGUGUCACUGCUGAUACUUAACACAUGAGUGUUGUCUGAAGAAGAACUCUGUUGCUAUGGUAAUCCCUGCAUGAAUUGAUGUUUUUAGCCUCGUUUUUCUCUUAUUUUUUUUCUCUAACUGCAUCAUAAUUUUCCCAACUCUGAAAACUACACACAAGGACAUAAUUACCAUCAUGUAUUAGCAAAUAAACUGUCUCUAAUUUUAUGGCAGUUUGGUUUUAAUAGAGAGAGAAAGAAAAUCAACCAACACCCCAGAAAGUUCUAAAGUGUUGACAUGUUUGUAAGCAAACCUGCAGACUGAGCAGGUCUAAUGAUGAUGUCCCUCUGUGUGAGUCACCGUCUGUUCUUUACUGUAAAAAAGCCUUUUUAAAAAGCUGCCUUAUUCAUGCACAUUCGCUUGUGUGCAGCCUGACACAGUGUUAUCUCUGGGAUUUCCCUCAGGUCUGCAGAAAGUGUCCUUAAAGUUGAAUAUUGUGACAAAGUGACUGUAGCAGUGAGACCGAGCUGCUCCAUCUGUUUCUGCUGCCGCUGACUUCAGCUCCUUAAACAUCCUGAUUUAUCAGCACUGCUGUCUGUCCCAGCAUCAUUUUAUGGUUUGCUUUUAUUUCUCAAGAUGAUGCAGGGAGCCUGGCUCAGGAGCUACUGUCAUGUUGUAACCGUGUUCCUGUGACUGUACUGUGAUAACUCUGUGACCAUGUGAUGGAUUUACUGUUGAUGGUGUCCUGUAUUAAAGUGUUACUGCAGCCGACCUGUCUGUGUGUCACUGUCUGUUCCUCCAACCUGUGGACUGCAGCAUCUUCAGCAGCAGGUGUUUGCUGUUUGUACCAUCUGCUCAGAUAUUCUUAAAUUUAAACGCCUUUAUUUAAUCUGUGCUUUCUACACAACAAUGAGGCUACAUCGAAUCUUAAAUAUCUUUUUAUUCUCCUUAACUCAGGAACUAUACUAAAAUAUGAUGCGAACAAAAUUGGAAUGCUGUUAAAAUUGAGGGGGGGCACCCUUAAGUGAUCAACUCCUUUCCCCACCCCCCAAGACCUUCAAUGUGUAACUUGUAGGUAACAGUGAAGGGGUGAAUGAGGUCACUGCAGCAGCCUCACCCACCAGCCUGUGCUGUUCCUCAAUACUCAAGUACGCGAGUACGGACUUUGUAAGUUCACACGGAAGUCCAGAAUUCCAGAGAAAGCAGCACGAUCAUUCCACAAUUGCAAUGGCAGUGUACCUGAUGAUAUCACAGCUCCAGAGGUUUUACUGCCAUCCCCUCUUAAUUUAACUGUGAUUAAUAUUUGCAAUAGAAAUUACACAUGAUGUAGUAGAUUAAAAAAUAUAUAAUUAAAAAGUAUCUUAAGCACUUUGGCAAAAAUCGCUUUUACAUAUCAUCAGUUUCAUAAUGUCUAAUAAGCUUCAGCACAAUCACUACAUGACACAAACAAGCUUAAUCUCUCUAUUAAUAAAAUAGUACACAUGUAUGCCUGAAUAAAAACAAACAGGUGAGAUGUUAGAACACUUGUUUUUAUUUUAGUAGACACUAAAAACUUGCAAUAGACAGCUGCUGGGGUUUGGAAGAGAAUUGAACAAAUAUUUAAAAUAUAAUCGGAUCAUUUUUGGAGCAGCCUUCAGGAUCUCCAUGCAUUAACAUGCUGUUUUUGCUCCCGGUCAAAACGUUUCCUCCUGAAUUUAAAUAUUUGUCAUCUUAGAUGUAAUUCAGAUCCAGCUGUUUAAAUAAGAACAAAACAUUUUACAUCAGGGGAUAUGACGGGUGUAACUCAAAAUACAGUGACCACUCUCCAAGUAAGAAUUCAAGCUUAACUUUAAUCUUCGCCAAACCGAUUUACUCAGGAACAAAUAAAAUUGCCAUUGCCACUUUUGAGUUUUGGAAGAAAUGCAGUCUGGGAUAUUUAGCUGCACCAAGUCCACACAAGUCACCACCGAUGCAUGCUUGAUAAAGUGGAGCGAGAACACA